rnacentral:lncRNA from 1 species
CUGCACCCAGCACUGUCAUGCCUCACUGGCCUCACCAGAAGUCCGUAAUCCUCCUCCUUCUGAUGCCCGCUCUUUGUGUCUGGGAAAGCUGGGAGGAGAAUCAAAGUCGAGGGCCUUACAGGCAGCAGAAGGUGAGGAGACCCAGUUAUUGAAGGUAAAUCCCAGAGAUAACUCCAAUCCAUCUGCAGGCACCACAUGGCCUGUAUCAGGAGUGAUGCUGGGGGUGGUCGGGGGAGCUGGAGCCACAGCCCUGGUCUUCCUGUCCUUCUGCGUCAUCUUCAUCGUAGUGAGGUCCUGCAGGAAGAAAUCAGCAAGGCCAGCAGCGGGCAUCAGGGAUAUGGGCAUGGAGGAUGCAAACGCUGUCAGGGGCUCAGCCUAUCAGGUGAGCGAUGUGGGCAUCUCCAUACCCAGCAUUCAGCCUGGACACCUCCCACAGG